GUAGUCAUAUGCUUGUCUCAAAGAUUAAGCCAUGCAUGUCUAAGUAUAAGCAACUUGUACUGUGAAACUGCGAAUGGCUCAUUAAAUCAGUUAUCGUUUAUUUGAUAGUACCUUACUACAUGGAUACCUGUGGUAAUUCUAGAGCUAAUACAUGCUAAAAACCCCGACUCCGGAAGGGGUGUAUUUAUUAGAUAAAAAACCAACGCCCUUCGGGGCUCACUGGUGAAUCAUAAUAACUUAACGAAUCGCAUGGCCUUGCGCCGGCGAUGGUUCAUUCAAAUUUCUGCCCUAUCAACUUUCGAUGUUUGGGUAUUGUCCAAACAUGGUGGCAACGGGUAACGGAGGGUUAGGGCUCGACCCCGGAGAAGCC
rnacentral:rRNA from 1 species